CCUGGGGACACCACCACCCCACCCUGGGGUCAGACCAGGACACCACCGCCUCCACCCUGGGGACACCACCGCCCCCACCCUGGGGACACCACCGCCCCCACCCUGGGGACAGACCAGGACACCACCGCCCCCACCCUGGGGACAGACCAGGACACCACCCUGGGGACAGACCAGGACACCACCCUGGGGACACCACCACCCCCACCCUGGGGACACCCCACCCACCACCGUGGGGACAUGAGUCUUCCAUUCCAAACGGGGAAACUCCUGGUGUUGGCUUCCCUCAGGUCCUCAGAAUGUUGCUACUGGACCCUGAUGUCUGCGGAGAAGAGAGGAUGAAGACGUCCGAAUCCUGGAGAGGAAGAGGAGGAUGAGGAGCAUGAAGAGAAGAUGAGGAGAGGAUGAAGAGCAUGAGGAGAGAAUGAGAGAGGAUGAGAGGAGAAGGAGAGGAUGAGGCGGUGAGAAUGGACGAGCGGAUGAGAGGGAGAGGAUGGAGAGGAUGGAGAUGGUGUGAGAGGAUCAAGGCAGAUCUUUUUUUUUAAGUUUGGGGAACCCGUUUGGAACACCCCCCUGGUCCGAUCCUCUGGGGGGGCCAGACGUUUCAGACCCUCGGUCCUUUAGCUCUGGUCGGGUCCGGAUCCACCAAAGUAGUCUUGGAGAUAGUUGUAGGCAGGAAGCCAUUUUUGCUAAAAAUAUUUAUAUUUUUAAGUUGCUCAGUGAGUUUUAAACGACUCAAGAAGAAAUGUUUUUAUCGGACCUUGCUGGUUCUAAGAUACUUUCCCGUUACCAUGGAGGAUUAUAGAGUCAUAUUAAGGAAUAAAUCUAAACAAUCAUAUGCAGUUGUUGCUUAAACAAUCCGUGCUUUAUUCUCAGGCAAUGUAACCCCCCCCCCAAAGCCCAUAGCUUAGAACCUACCAAAAAAUCCCCAAAAGCAUUCUUAAGAUCUUCUGUUGUGGUAAUACCCCUUUAAACCCCAAACACUGUGAGGGACAGCUCUUAACCCCGCCCCCUAAUGUACACACGCUGCACUUCUGUCGAACUUACAG
ensembl:lncRNA